rfam:Beta vulgaris subsp. vulgaris chromosome 2, whole genome shotgun sequence.
AUCCCGUGAUGAGGGCAUUGUCUUUGCAAACCUAGAAACCUUCUCCAUGCUUCAUACAACGAUUCGUCGUCAGGUUGCUAAGUCAUUUCUCAACUUCGCGGUC